AUCACGGUAAGGGAGCGUUCUGCUCUAGGUCGAAGCAUCAGCGUGAGCUAAGGUGUGGACGAAGCAGAAGUGAGAAUGUCGGCUUGAGUAACGAAAACACUGGCGAGAAUCCAGUGCCCCGAAAACCGCAGGGUUCCUCUGGAAGGCUUGUCCGCAGGGGGUUAGUCAGGACCUAAGGCUAGGCCGAAAGGCGUCGUCGAUGGAAAGCAGGUUAAUAUUCCUGCACUAAAAUUAAUCUUAGACAACGGGGGACGGAGUAAAAGCGGCAAAUAAAUCUUUGGUUUUUUAUUUGACUGGAAAAUAUAUGCUCUUGUAGAGAAAAUGCAAGGGAAUUUCCUAAGUCUGUGAUUACUUCCAAGAAAAGCCCGAAUUGUUGUUGUGUGAAGGUAAGCACCAAAUUAAUUUUACCUGUACCGUAAACCGACACAGGUAGGUAGGUAGAGAAUACUAAGGGGUACGAGAUAACUCUCUCUAAGGAACUCGGCAAAAUGGCCCCGUAACUUCGGGAGAAGGGGUGGGUCGAAGAUAGGUUCUUCGACCCCGCAGUGACCAGGCCCAGGCGACUGUUUAUCAAAAACACAGGUCUCCGCAAAGUCGUAAGACGAUAUAUGGGGGCUAACGCCUGCCCAGUGCUGGAAGGUUAAGGAAGUGGGUCAGAAAUUUAUUUCGAAGCUUGCGACUGAAGCCCCAGUGAACGGCGGCCGUAACGAUAACGGUCCUAAGGUAGCGAAAUUCCUUGUCGGGUAAGUUCCGACCCGCACGAAAGGCGUAACGAUCUGGGCACUGUCUCGGAGAGAGACUCGGUGAAAUAGAAUUGUCUGUGAAGAUGCGGACUACCUGCACUUGGACAAAAAGACCCUAUGAAGCUUUACUGUAACCUGGAAUUGGGUUCCAGCUCUUCUUGCGCAGCUUAGGUGGAAGGCGAUGAUCUAGUUCUUCCGGGAAUUAGUGAGCCAACAGUGAGAUACCACUCUUGAAGAGCUAGAGCCCUAACCUCGAUUUCCGUGAUCCGGACGAGAAACAGUUUCAGGUGGGCAGUUUCACUGGGGCGGUGGCCUCCCAAAAGGUAACGGAGGCGUGCAAAGGUUCCCUCAGACUGGAUGGAAAUCAGUCGUAGAGUAUAAAGGCAGAAGGGAGCUUGACUGCGAGACCUACAAGUCAAGCAGGGACGAAAGUCGGCCUUAGUGAUCCGACGAUUCCGCGUGGUAGGGUCGUCGCUCAACGGAUAAAAGUUACUCUAGGGAUAACAGGCUGAUUCUUCCCCCGGACCCUACCCUACGGAAGAGUUUGGCACCUCGAUGUCGACUUGUCGCAACCUGGUGCAG
rnacentral:rRNA from 1 species